GGAGGGGUGGGUGAGUGGUUAAUACCACCAGACUGUAAAUCUGGCGCUUCGGCUACGCUGGUUCGAAUCCAGCCCCCUCCA
rnacentral:tRNA from 1 species